rnacentral:misc_RNA from 1 species
GGUACGUUCAAAACCAAGCCUGGGAACUAGACCCAGUUAUGAUUGGUACAGCAUAGGCAAAGAAAGUUUAGCAGUUGUACAUAGUGUUCAAGACACUGGUUAUUUAGAGCUUGCAUGCUGUUUCCGCAAAGGUCGCCUAAUGACUCAUUACACUGACAUUGAAAAGGUUUCUGGAUUUCGAAUUGGGCAGCAUGUUAGGUUUAGGUCUGGUCUGGUAGAACCAAGAUGGGGCUGGAGAGGCACUAAUCCAGAUUCUCGAGGUGUGAUAACUGGCGUUAAUGCUGAUGGAGAAGUUAGGGUUGCAUUUUUUGGUUUGCAAUGUCUCUGGAAAGGAGAUCCUGCAGAUUUCGAGAUAGAGCCAACAUUUGAAGUCGCAGAGUGGGUCAAGUUGAGAGAGAUUGCAAGUGGUUGGAAAUCUGUAGGGCCAGGUAGCAUUGGAGUUGUGCAAGGAAUGAGUUAUGAAGGCGAUAAGUGGGAUGGAAAUGUUUUUGUUGCUUUUUGUGGAGAGCAGGACCAGUGGACGGGAUACUGCAGCCAUCUUGAGAAAGUAAACAAACUCUUAGUUGGUCAGCGUGUUAGAGUUAGGAACUCUGUGAAGCAGCCAAGAUUUGGUUGGUCAGGUCAUAGUCAUGCAAGUGUCGGAACUAUAUCAGCAAUUGAUGCAGAUGGCAAACUAAGAAUCUACACACCAGCGGGGUCAAAAUCUUGGAUGCUUGAUCCUUCAGAAGUUGACCUUGUGGAAGAAAAAGAAAUCCAAGUUGGUGACUGGGUCAGGGUUAGGGAGAACGUAUCUAACCCAACACACCAGUGGGGGGAUGUCUCACAUUCAAGUAUUGGGGUAGUGCACCGCAUAGAAGAUGGAGAUCUUUGGGUUGCAUUCUGCUUUUUGGAUAGGCUAUGGCUCUGCAAGGCCUUGGAAAUGGAAAGAAUUAGAGCAUUCAAAAUGGGGGAUAAAGUGAGGAUCAGAGAUGGGCUGGUGGCACCUCGAUGGGGAUGGGGGAUGGAGACUCAUGCGAGUAGAGGUGAAGUGGUUGGAGUGGAUGCUAAUGGGAAGCUACGAAUUAAGUUUCAAUGGAGAGAAGGGCGUCCGUGGAUUGGAGACCCUGCUGAUAUUGUCCUUCAUGAGCACGAUGAUCAAUGAAGGGUUUGUCUUUAUUAUGGUUCCUCCGUUCAUUAGAUAACAGGCAGGGCAAGCCAAGGGCUUCUUUAAUUUAUAGGAGAGGCAGUCCAUGUGCUGUCUUUGCUAAUGGCGUUAUAGGCUGCCCCAGUGCAGUUGACAGCCAUGAAAACAGAUGUAUACAAAGUAGCUUUGAUGACAGAGAGAUGGAUAAAAGGUUAAAAGGGUGUUGGGGUUGAUUUAGUGUCAUUGCUGAAGUUCAACUUCAGAUGUGUAGUCAAAAAUGCUGCCUGCGUUGGGGAUUUUUCUGCAUAUGUUUCGUUCUAGCUGCGUUAACAGAAAUAUGCUUGAUUUCUAUUCUGUACAAAUCACAAGUAAUUUUUCAGUUCAUAGCUUUGAAACAUAGUUCACUUACACUAGACUCGAACAUUUCUCUCCUUUAUCUUUGUCCUUUAGAAGAUGCUGAG